rnacentral:rRNA from 1 species
UACGUAGGGGGCAAGCGUUGUCCGGAAUUAUUGGGCGUAAAGCGCGCGCAGGCGGUCAUUUAAGUUUGGUGUUUAAUUCCAGGGCUCAACCCUGGGUCGCACUGAAAACUGGGUGACUUGAGUACAGAAGAGGAGAGUGGAAUUCCACGUGUAGCGGUGAAAUGCGUAGAUAUCGGAAGGAACAUCAGUGGCGAAAGCGGCUUCCUGGACCAGAACUGACGAUCAGGCUCGAAAGCGUGGGGAGCAAACAGG